CACUUCACCAGCUGGCCAGACCAUGGUGUACCAUUUCGUACAGACGCCUUGCUCAAAUUCCGGGAGAAAGUGUUAGUCUAUGAAACUCAUCUGGGUGGGCCAAUGGUCGUUCAUUGCAGUGCUGGAAUAGGACGAACAGGGACGUUUAUUGGCCCUAGACUACCUGAUGUCCCAGGCUGAUGCGGAGGGGGCUGGUGGACGUACCUUACUGCGUCGCUCGGCUCAGAGAACAGCGCGUCAAUAUGAUUCAGACAUUGGAGCAGUAUAUAUUCCUCCACGAAGUUCUGUUAGAUGGUUUAAAAUUGAGAGAGAG